rnacentral:rRNA from 1 species
CGGGGGGAGCAAGCGUUGUUCGGAUUUACUGGGCGUAAAGGGCGCGUAGGCGGCCACCGCAAGUCGACUGUGAAAUCUCCGGGCUUAACCCGGAAAGGUCAGCCGAUACUGCGGGGCUAGAGUGCAGAAGGGGCAACUGGAAUUCUCGGUGUAGCGGUGAAAUGCGUAGAUAUCGAGAGGAGCACCUGCGGCGAAGGCGGGUUGCUGGGCUGACACUGACGCUGAGGCGCGAAAGCUAGGGGAGCGAACGGGAUUAGAUACCCCGGUAGUCCUAGCCUUAAACGAUGAAUGCUUGGUGUCUGGGGUUUUAUAGUCCCCGGGUGCCGUCGCUAACGCUUUAAGCAUUCCGCCUGGGGAGUACGGUCGCAAGACUG